UCUACUGGUGGACGUAUGCUGUGCUCACAUGCAAGUCGAGCGGACAGAAGGGAGCUUGCUCCCGGAUGUUAGCGGCGGACGGGUGAGUAACACGUGGGUAACCUGCCUGUAAGACUGGGAUAACUCCGGGAAACCGGAGCUAAUACCGGAUAGUUCCUUGAACCGCAUGGUUCAAGGAUGAAAGACGGUUUCGGCUGUCACUUACAGAUGGACCCGCGGCGCAUUAGCUAGUUGGUGGGGUAAUGGCUCACCAAGGCGACGAUGCGUAGCCGACCUGAGAGGGUGAUCGGCCACACUGGGACUGAGACACGGCCCAGACUCCUACGGGAGGCAGCAGUAGGGAAUCUUCCGCAAUGGACGAAAGUCUGACGGAGCAACGCCGCGUGAGUGAUGAAGGUUUUCGGAUCGUAAAGCUCUGUUGUUAGGGAAGAACAAGUGCGAGAGUAACUGCUCGCACCUUGACGGUACCUAACC
rnacentral:rRNA from 1 species